rnacentral:lncRNA from 1 species
AUAAGAUCUAACAAUUUAAGUUAGAUGUAUUUCAAAAAGUCAAUCUAAAAAAAACUGCCUCAAUUCUCCUUAUCCCAGCACAUAAGUCUACUUAUAUCAGAAGGUUUUCACAGACAAGAAGUCAUGCACAUAACCGGAUUUAAGUACCAAUCUGAUAUGGAAAUAUAAUGACAUUUCUUACGCUUGUAUAGUAGUCAUUGCCAUGUAAUAAAGCGUAUGAACUCAAAAACUUUAGCAACCUUGACAGCUUGUUGACGAAAAGCGCGAUGAUUUCUUGCGUUCCAAAUGCCCCACAUUGUUGCAUGCCAAAUCACAUGGCUCCAUUGUUUUUUGUCCUUUCAGAAAUCAGGUGAUCAAAUUGUUCAUACAGCUGAACUGGUUCCGCAGGUAUAAACAAAGUUCACAUUUAACCAAUUGAAAAUUGCCUUCCAAAUCUGAGAGGCGAUUUCACAGCUUAGAAAUAAGUGAUUCCUCCUUUCUUAAUUGCUGCCACAUAAAUAGCAUGAAUUUUCUAUAUUCUGAAUGUGGAUGUUUCUCCUUUGCAAUUGAUCGCAAGUUGACAGCUUGUUCCACAAUAGUCUCCA